rnacentral:lncRNA from 1 species
CCCUGUACCCGCUACUCUUCUUAGAACCACACUCUAAAAGCUCUUUCUUUUAGCCUCUAUUGGUUUUUCUUAACCAUAAUGGAGGCGUCACCGUGUUUGUUUCGAAGUUGACGCCCAUUCGGAGUUGCGUAAUAAAGACCGAAAAUCAUAAACCUUCUUGACGACGCCCCGUUCAAUGCCCACAAAAAGGUCAAUGGUCUCCCUUUAUCCUUUUAUCUGUUGUAAGUAAUAUUUGAGUUCUUUUAUAAAAUAAUAAGUGUUAGUUCUCUUUUCUGAUCUUUGAUUAGAAACUAUGAAAUAAGGAUUUAUCAUGCUUUCAUUCAAUGUUUCAUGUUAUUUGUGAACUAGUGAACGCGGUUUAAGGUUUCUUUAUAAUAUUAUUCUGGAUUAAGUGAUCAGAUUAUGUGAAGCAUUGUAUGCUAUAGAAUCUUAUUUUUUCUAAAAUGUAAGUUGUUAACCAGAAGUCAUGACUUAUGGAUAUGUUGCCAUAGAAAGUAUGGUAAUAAAGUUAUGAAAUCAUCUCUGUUUAAAAUUUGGUAGAAUCUGCAAUUUAAAGUUUACUAGGAAUCAUGAUUUCGUUACUUGGUCAUUAUCCGUUAGCAUAGUGAUACUUCAGUUUGAGACAAUCUGUUGAUGACAAAGAAUCUGCAUUAUUCAUUAAAAGAUCUAUUUGUGCUCCUUCCUGUAAUGAAAUCAAGUUCAUAAACAAAAUAGAAACCUACUAGUAUAACUUAAGAAAGAUUACUGUUUUUUUAUUAUAACAUGGUUCAUACAUCCCUAACAACUAGUUAAAGUGAAGUGUGAGUGCAGAGUUAUGUGUUAAACACCCUUUUCAGGAAUUGAUAUCAAUUCUGCCUGCAAUUUAAGGAUCAUAUAAUUGUUACAUAGUAAGUCAGUGAUCAUGAUAGCAUGUAUAUAUGAUAUCUUAAGUAGUAAUGGUAAAAGUGAAAUCUGUUAGCAUGUGUUUGUUGAACAAAGUAUGCUUUUUGCUGCUGUCAUUUCUUAUGUACCUUGAAGAAUCAAGUUUAACUUUUGCUAAUGGCCUUAAGGAAGUGUAAAUCCCAAUUUGUUUGUUAGGCUGAAUCUCUUACUUUAGGAGGUAACUUGAAUACAUAAUGUAAUUGUUUAACCUUAAUAUAAGAACAUCACUUGAGAAACCUUUCAAAUUGGUAAAAGUUUAUGUGCCUUAUUAGCAUGAUAUGCAUAAGUACUGGUUUUUUAGCAUAAGUUUGUGAUUUAUGUACUCUUUCUGUAACUUUAGUUUUUCUUCUUUUAUCUUCCUUACGUGUUUAAUAUAUUCAGAUCCUCUUUCUAAUCCUUUCUUUUCUUUCUUUAUUUUGCAUGAAAACACCGGAGCCGCAAAGAGUUCCAGUAUGGGACUCGACGCUGCUGCCUAGACACAAAGCACGCACACCCCUUCAUUUUCUCUUCUAUUCCUGAACUUAUUUAGGCUCUCGAAAAAAGAGAGGAAAAGUAGAAGAGAUGACCAAACAUUGGCUGUCUAAUGUUACUUUCCUGUGUUUAUUAGCUAACUGUUUUAUGCGAUCUAUUUGCUUGCUUGGUUGCUCGAACUCAUUUGAAUUAAAUUAGUUUGUUUGAUCACGUAGUAUUUGGCAUCUCGAUGUGCAAACUUUAACACCAAUAAUAGCUUUUCAUUUAGUAGUCCGGGCUAAUAGACCUAACUAAUUUAAGAGCAUUUUUGAAGGUAUUUGGAGCUUUAAAUUGUGAAGGAAACUCGUUUUCAUUUAUCGAGUGUUAAACAAGUUUAAGGAAAUCAGCUAAAUUUUUAUCUUUACAAUAAUCUGCAAUUUUUUUUAAAAGUGAUAAACGAACAAGCUCAAACUUUAUUUUCCUUCAAACAAUAUAUUUCUUUCAAGUACUAGGCGAGUGGAUAGCUCCAUACAUCUUCCUUGAAUUUGGUUUCAUUGGAUUAAAGAACUUUGAACUUUGAACAACGAUCUAUUUCUUUUUCUAAAAGUUAUAGUUGUUCUCUUAGAAUCUUUAACUAGAGGUCUCAUUCUUAAAGUCAAAUAAUGCUUUCCAUUUAUUAAUUUGUGCUAAGUUUAGGUAACUAUCUACUUUAAGCUGCCUACGGUAAUUCAUAGCAUACAUUUUAGUGUUAACUUUCUUUUAUUUAUACUUAUAAAUGACCACAUUUUUUACAACCCUUAGUCUUAAUUAACUUAAGUUUGGCCGGUUAACCAUAUUAAUGGAUCAUAUACAGAGUGCUUAAUACCUUUUCUAUAAGAUUAAAUAAAGCCCUUACCCGUAGUCUUAAAGGUUAAAUAGACCAUAAAACAAAGUUAACUGCAUUACUUAAGCUUUUAAAUAUAGGUGUCUUAAUUCACCUUAGAAUUAAUUAGAUGACGACUCUUUUAAUUAAUUAACACUUGACUUACCAAUAUGUUAUGCUCUAAUUUGACCCGAUUAAAAUGGGGUAUAACAAUCAUCCCCGACCCUGAUAAGGACAUCACCACACACGUGGAGGGGUACUUAAGCAUUUAUACAUACCCCUUCAUGUUUGGCACAUAGUUCUCGAUUUUUGCAAAAGGUACGAGGUCUGCCUUAGGUAGAUUCACCCGUCCUUUUGGAGGACCGUGAUGUAAAAGAAGAAUCUAUGUUAAAUUUCAUUAAUUUUGGCAUGUUUUAGAGCUCAAGUCCAAACAUAUAGACUUCUUUUCAAGAAGUCCAAAAAGCUCAAGAUUGAUUUCAAGAAGCCAAGAUUCUUUAAAUAGGAUUUAUUUUAUUCCUUUUAGAAUAAGGAUUUUACUUUUAGUAGAAUUCUAGCUUCUUUUCCUUGUAGAAUAAGGAUUUUACUUCCCUUGUCUUUAGUUAUUUUAUUUUCUUAUUAGAAUAGGAAAUAUAGUCAUCAAGAAGAGACUCUAGGCGUAUAUAAAGGGUUCUCUUGCCUUGUAGAAAAUAAUUCACGUUUUUAUGCUUGCCCUAGUUUUACAAUAGAGUGUUUUUCUCUAUUUUUUCUUCUUUAUCCUUGUUUUUGGUUCCAAGCAAGAUGGUGAUAGUCUUUAUCUUGUCUUCAAUUAUGUGUGGUGUUUAUUUAUCGUGCUAAUUGAGUCUAAAUGGUGGCUUUAGGAAUUUUAUAGUUCUUGAUUAUUCAAAAAUACGUUUCUUGAUCUAAAUUCAUUUUUUUAUUAUCAGAGAAUCAUAACUUUCCUUGAACCGGUACAACAUCAAUAUUUACUUGUUUUGAAUGAGUAAAUAUUCUUUCUUAUAGUUCAGAUUGUCAUCUUUCACCCUCGUUUUUGAAUCAUCAGAUUCUGUGUCCUAAAACUUGAGAUACGUUAUUUCUUAAAAUCGACCCACAAACCACAUUUUCGUUUCAAGAUCUUGAUCCUGGUCGAAUGAUUCUUUGUUAACUGAAAGAAUCACAUCAUGGUAUCAGAGCUAUAAUCCACAGGUCCCAAGUUGAUGAAUUCAUCACAUCAAUUUGGUAUCAGAACUAUUACCCAUAGGUCCAAAAGUUGAGAAAUCAUCAUGUCUAAGAUUCAAACAAGAGCAAGAUUCUUGGUUCAAGAAGAUGAAAAAACAAGACAACAUGAAUCUUUUCUACACUAGAUGUACCUCCAAUGAAAAAGUUUGUUCAUUGAUCAUUAAUCAUGGGAAUCACAUAAAUAUCGUUUCUGAAGAGAUGGUUUCUUAACUCGGCUUGUCAACCAAACUUCAUUCAUAUCCUUACAACAUUGAAGUUGAAGAUGAUGAUGGUUUAGAGAUAACUCAUCAAUGCCUAGUAUCUUUUUCUAUUGGUAAGAUAUAUAAAGACAAGAUUUGGUGUGACUUGGUGAAUAUGGGUGCUUGUCACUUAUUACUCGGAAGACCAUGGGUGUAUGAUAAGUGUGCUAAAUAUGAUGAAGACCUUAAUACCUAUUCUUUUACAGAGAAUGGACAUAAGAUUAUUUUAGUACCGCUGAAUACCGAAGAAAUAGUUAAUUUUCUGAAGUUCAAUGAUGAUUCUUUUCUGACCAAAUUACAAAGAAUUGAUCCAAUCAAUAGAGAAAAGUCUUUGAUCGUUGGUCCAAUCAAGGAGGAGGAGCAUGAACUGGAUCUACAAGUUGAGGAUUUACCUCCUAAGUUUGAUGAUGACUUAUUGGAGCAUCCCAUAAGUGAGCUUAACUUUUCACCUAAUAGAGAUGCUCAACAUAAUAUUAAUUUGAUUGUUGAUUCUAUCCUUCCAAACGAGGCAUCAUAUUGCAUUAAUCCAGAAGUCCAUGAAAUUUCGCAAACACAAGAGGAAGGGUUGCUUAAAAAGGAGUCCAUAAUGGAGGGUUUGAGUUAUAUUUUGUUCCAGCUUUUUUUCUUGCCCCCAAAGGAUGAAUAUAUUCAAGAAUACAUACGAUAUAUCAACACAAAUUCCAUCAAUGGACAUGAUCUAGUUAAAUAUGAGAGCGUUGUUGCUGAUGAAUUCUCAAGAAGAUAUACUUCCAUCUCCAAGCUUGAUCUAGUAAUAGUACUUGAAUUUGAUUCUUCUAAGGGGUUUCAUGGUGCUAAAUCGAAUUUUCUUGGCAUAUCCCAUAAGCACCACAUUGACAUGGAGAAGUUCAAGAUUUCUGAAGAUCAAAAGAAUAUAAUUUAUGAUUAUGGAUUAGUGUUUAAAAAUUGAUUUAAGAGGAUUCAUUGAAGCAAUAUUGGUACAAAGUUACUAUUGAGAAAGUGAGAUUUAGUUCGGCCACAUGCUAAGCUUUGUUACAACACGAUAAUUUUUUUUAACAAGUUAGAACAAUGCAACUUAGAGCCUGGUGAAUAUGAGUUCUACCAAAGCAUGAUAGUUGUCAAGACUGUGCCAUUUGUGGAGCGUUUAGACUCAAGGACGAGUCUUUAUCAACCAGGGAGAAUGAUGUAAAAUAAGAAUCUAUGGAAGCUCAAGAUUGAUUUCAAGAAGCCAAGAUUCUUUCCUUCUUAAAAUGGGAUUUAUUUUAUUCCUUUUAGAAUAAGAAUUUUCCUUUUAGUAGGAUUCUAGUUUCUUUUCCUUGUAGAAUAGGGAUUUUAGUUUUACUUCCCUUGUAUUUAGUUAUUUUAUUUUCUUAUUAGAAUAGAAAUUAUAGUCAUCAAAGAAGAGACCAUAGGCCUAUAUAAAGGGUUCUCUUACCUUGUAGAAAAUAAUUCACGUUUUUUAGGCUUGCCCUAGUUUUACAAUAAAGUAUUUUUCUCUAUUUUGUCUUCUUUAUCAUUGUUUUUGGUUCCAAGUAAGAUGGUGAUAGUCUUUAUGUUGUCUUCAAUUGCGUGUGGUGUUUCUUUACCACGUUAGUUGAGUCCCAAUGAUGGCUUUAGGAAUUUUAUAGUUCUUGAUCGUUCAAGAACAUGUUUCUUGAUCUAAAUUCGUUUUUUGUUAUCAUAAUAUCAUAACUUUCCUUGAACCGGUACAACAUCAAUAUUUACUUGUUUUGAAUGAGUAAAUAGUCUUUCUUAUAGUUCAAAUCGUCAUCUUUCACCUCGUUUUUGAAUCAUCAGAUUCCGAGUCCUAAAACUUGAAAUACUUUGUUUCUUGAAAUCGACCCACAAAUCACAUUUUCGUUUCAAGAUCUUGAUCCUGGUCGGUUGAUUCUUUGUUAACUUGAAGAAUCACAUCAAUUUGGUAUCAGAUCUAUAAUCCAUAGAUCCCAGGUUGAUGAAUUCAUCACAUUAAUUUGGUAUCAGGACUAUAACCCACAGGUCCAAAGGUUGAUAAAUUAUCAUGUCUAAGAUUCAACCAAGAGUAAGAUUCUUGGUUCAAGAAGAUGAAGAAACGAAACAGCGUGAAUCUUUUCCACACUAGAUGUACCUCCCAUGGAAAAGUUGUUCGUUGAUCAUUGAUCAUGGGAGUCACAUAAAUAUUGUUUCUGAAGAGGUGGUUUCUAAACUCGGCUUGUCAACCAAACUUCAUCCAUAUCCUUACAACAUUGAAGUUGAAGAUGAUGAUGGUUUAGAGAUAACUCGUCAAUGCCUAGUAUAUUUUUCUAUUGGUAAGAUCUAUAAAGACAAGAUUUGGCGUGAUGUAGUGAAUAUGAAUGCUUGUCACUUAUUACUUGGAAGACCAUGGGUGUAGGAUAUGUGUGCUAAAUAUGAUGAAGACCUUAAUACCUAUUCUUUUACAGAGAAUGGACGUAAGAUUGUUUUAGUACCGUUGAUUUCCGAAGGAAUUGCUAAUUAUCUAUAGUUCAAUGAUGAUUCUUGUAUAUGGAAAAAUCGGAGGAACCAAUUUUCCGCCAUUAUGAUGCCUCGUCAGCACGUUUUCAAAGGCUCGAGGCUAUGGUCGGGAUUCGCCCCCGAGGGGCUAUCGACGCUCGACCUCAGGGCAUUAUAGAUCAACGGUUAUGGUGAAAAAGUGGAAAGUUCCUAAGGCGCGUAGCUAGAGCCGAUAAAGUUUGUCAGGCUAGUCUUAGCCCGCAUCAUGGCAUUAACUAGCUGUACCAUAUCCAUAUCUUUGUAAUUAAUGUAUUUGUACUAUGUUGGGAUUUCCCCUCAUAUAUAAAGGGGAUUCUUGUCAUUUUGUAGUCAUGUGUUGCUCAAUACUAAAUACACAAGAACAUUCUCUCUGCUCUCUAACAUAUUCUCUUGAUCUUAUUGCUUCCAUUUAUUGCUUACAUUAAUUGUGUUCUAUUUAUUGCUUAUCAUUGAUCAUAAAGAGCCAUCAUUUUGGCUCUCAUAACUGUUAGUCCUCCUACAGUUGCCUUAAGCCAAAUUCCAGACUCGACCUCGAGGCCUCAUAUACGGCAGCUCGAGGCCCCGAUCCCCAGCCCCUCAGUUCGAUCAUCACAUUGUCUUUAAGCUUUAAUCUUGCUUUCUAUUCUUUUACUUAGCACCCAUUACCUAACAACUAGCAUAAAAAUAGAUAAUGUAUUUUUAGAACCACAAAAUAAAAUUUAAUUGCUAUUAUCAUUUUCACGGUAAACAGUUUGGCGCCCACCAUGGGGCUAAAAAUAAUAGUGAUUAUCUUCUUGCUGGUUUAACUACAUAACGCAAGUUACCUCUCUAACUUUUUCUUGUCCAAGAUCUUUGAUUUCAGGUCAAGAUGUCUAACUCAGUAAACAACAAUCUUGAGGACCAUGGAGAGAAUGGUGUGGAUGUUCCAGGUGUUGGUAUACCACCACGAAACCCUAAGAAUGCAUCAGAACCAAUUUUCGUGGAUGCGGCCUCACACGAUGCCCAACACGUCAAUAUAAGCUCUCAUACUAAUAGGAGCGUGCAUCAAGGAGACCAAUAAGAAGCUCAGAAAACCCCAACUAGGGAAGAACGAGAGGUUAGCCUUCACGUUAUUUUUGAAAUGUUAUAGGCACAACAGCUGGCUAUUGCUCAACUACAAAGUCACCAGAAAACUCCCAGCACGGUAGCACCGGGGAUGGCUCUCCCAACCGAGCAGGUACUAGAAAGAUCAAGCAACAACUGAUCGGUAGCCGACCCCGCCAUCGUAAAGAUGCUCGAGGACCUCACAAAGAGUAUCGAGUUGGGCGAGAAAAAGAUAGAAGCCAACGAUAAUAAGAUAGAGACAUACAAUUCUAGGGUCGAUCAAAUUCCGGGCGCACCCUCGGUUCUGAAAGGUGUAGAUUCGAAGAAGUUUGUGCAAAAGUCGUUCCCGCAGGAGGCGGCCCCACAACCCAUUCUGAAGAAGUUUAGAAUGUCCGAGCUUUCGAAGUACAACGGAACCUCGAACCCUAACGAACACGUCACUGCCUACACUUGCGUAGUGAAGGGCAACGACCUAAGGGACGACGAUAUCGAGUCCAUCCUGCUAAAGAAGUUUGGGGAAACACUCUCGAAAGGGGACAUGAUAUGGUAUCACAUCCUAGCUCCUAACUCUAUAAACUCAUUUGCCAUGCUAGCAGAUUUUUUCAUAAAGGCACACACCGGCGCCAUCAAAGUAGCAACAAGGAAAUCCGACGUCUUCAAGAUCAAGUAGAGGGAGAAUGAGAUGCUGCGAGAGUUCGUAUCUCGUUUUCAAAUGAAAUGAAUGGAGCUACCACCAGUCUCCGACGAUUGGGCAGUGCAGGCCUUCACUCAAGGUCUGAAUGAACGAAGCUCGGUGACUUCGAAGUAGCUGAAAUAGAAUUUGGUUGAAUACCCUGCCGUGACUGGUCGAACGUUCACAACCAAUAUCAAUCGAAAAUCAGGGUCGAGGACGACCAACUAGAAGCCCCCUCGGGCUCGGUAUAUCCCAGUAGGCUUCUGCCAAAGGAGACAAAUCCAAACAAGAAAAGAUACCAACCAUACACUGAAGAUAGAAGAAACGCCCCGAGGCACAAAAUACCCCGUAAUGAUCGAAGAAAGGACCAAGGGAAGAACCCUCGGGGACUCGUUAGCAAAUCCGGGUUCGAUAGGCACGUAGGGUCGAUGGAUGCACCUCACUUGUUGGAAUACAACUUCAACGUCGAUAUUUCAGAUAUCGUGUUCGCCAUCAGUAAAAUCAGAGACACCAGGUGGCCAAGUCCUGUACAAUCAGAUCCUUCAUAAAGGAAUCAUAACUUAGUGUGUGAAUUUCACAACACACACGGUCACAGGACCGAAGAUUGCCGGCAACUCCAGGAAGAGGUAGCCCGACUACUCAGGAAAGGUCACCUCCGGGGAUUCCUCAGCGAUCGAGCCAAAAUUUAGUUCCGGGAAAGUGAGGCGACCGAAAAGAACGAAGCAAAUGAGCCACAAGAUGUCACCAUAUGACUUUUUAAUGUGUCGGUGCCCUGCAGGAACCUACGAUCAGGAGAACGAAAACAUCCCUCACCAGGAAAAAGCGAACUCGAGGCUCUAUCUCAGCCCCAUAACGAUGCACUGGUAACUUCUUUUCUUGUGAAUACAUUCCAAAUUAAACAUGUGCUUGUGGAUCUAGGUAGCUCGACCAAUAUUAUCAGGUCGAGGGUAACAGAGCAACUCGGACUGCUUGAUCAAAUUAUGCCUGCCUCUCGAGUCCUCAAUAGAUUCAACACGACGAGCAAAACAACGAAAGGGGAAACUACCCUACCAAUCAAUAUGGCCGGCACAACCCAAAGCGACUACGAGGCAUUUCUCAGCUGUACCUGAAUGAACAAACGAAGGGCCGUACCGUGUCCUCAGAGCAAGUACUGAAGGCUUACCAAGGCUCAAAGCACCAUCAUCACUAAGGUAUAUCCAUCUACCUUUUAAUUUACAUCUCAUACUAACCUUUAUGCAGGUGUCCGACUAAGACAAUCGAAGCGCCAAUCCAUCUCGAAGACCUUAAGGUUUUAAAGCACACAUUGCACUAUUUUCCUUCGAUCGAGUUUUUAUCCCGAAAAGGGUUUUACCGGCAAGGUUUUUAACGGCAACAUCUAUAUGCUACCUAAGAAAGACUCAACGAGUAUUCAAGGCUUCUUUUGCAAUAAACCUUGAAUACUGGGGGGAAUGCCCCCAGAAGGUCACCUACUUGGAGAAGCCAAGAAGUGCUGAACGGGGUCUCGAUAGGAGAAUAAUGUACCGGGCCAAACGGUCGAAUGAACCGUGUCCAUAAAAGAAUAACCGAGUCCCUAACAAUGAAAACAUGUAUACUUGUACCAAGUAAUCAAAGAAUACUUCCCAAAAGCAUUUUACGCUUCAAGGAAGCUUGAUAUUUUUUUGCAAAAAAUGGCCCAGAGCAAAACAAGUCCCGAAUACUUGGGGACUAGCGUCAACAACUCAAAACAAUACGACCCCCGGGUCAGAGCUUCAAACUCGUAAGCCCUCAAUGAGGCAAUAAAAAGAUCACAAAACAACCCAGAGCCAAAAACGUCCCGAACACUCGGGGACUGGCGUCGAAAACUCAAGGCCACAUGACCUCCGGGUCUGAAACUCCAAAAUUGUAAGCCCUCAAUGACGCAAUACCAAGUUUACAAGUAAUGGAUCCCGAGUCGACAAAUCCUCGAUGACUCAGGGACUACCGUCAAUCGCCAUCUCUAUUGACUUAUCAAAGCCCGAGGCUAUAAGACCACAUGCGGGCAGCCUCGGUCUCNNNNNNNNNNNNNNNNNNNNNNNNNUUGUAAGACCUCAAAGGCAUGUAAAACUCGUAAGACCUUACUAAAGGCAUAAACCCGAUAUCAAAGUUAAGGCUAUAUAUUGAACUUGUAAGACCCCUAAAAGGCAUACCCUCAAUAUAGACGCCAAAACUACUUCACUCGGGACUGAAAGGCUCCGGCCAAACACAAAUGACUGCAGUCACAAGGCUGUACCAGCCAAACUAACAUGACUCAAGGACGCCCGACCGUCGCUAUAAAAUCACAUGCCUUCAAUUACUUCAAAUAUACUUCGAAAAGAACCAGUUAAAUAGGCUACCCUCGACAUAGGAAAAAGGGCUUCGACUAUGUCAACACCUAAAUACAGGCUUUGGGAUACUCAGCCACCGAGCCAAACCUCCCGAGGUUCUCGAUCAUCGCCAUAUAACGACUCACAAUCAAGGUUUCUAUUAAACCGUUGAAGAGUCAGGCAAACACAAUUUCGAAAAGUCCUUAAUGAGGGAAAAAUAAAACCUAUAAGAGGUCGUACCGACCCAACGUGUAAGAGCCACUGUCGCCAGCCCAUACAAGAGGUCGACGUAAGAGCCACUAUCGCCAACCCACACAAGAGGUCGUACCGACCCACACAUAAGAGCCUAAGGGCCAGCUUUAAAUUCAAAAGCUUGAGGGUCGAAUGAGCUCGAGUCGAUACCCGACUCGGAGACUGAACCCAAGAUAGUUGACUAAAUAUGCAUAAGAGCUCACAUGCUGGCUUAUACCAAAAGGUCGUACCGACCAAGUGCGUAAGAGCCUACAGGCCAGCCCAAUGAGCGCCUAGGCCAUACCACGAAUCUAAGGAUUCCUAUUUAACUCGAAGACUAAUUCAUCUGGCUAAAAUCAAGGCAAAGAGAAAUGCAUGAAAAAUAAAACCGCGAGGUUUCCUUUUAUACAUAUAUGUGAAGGAGUACAAGCUCCAUUUACAACGUACUUUGAAAAGUACUACUCCCUCUGUUCCAAUUUAUGUGAACCUAUUUCCUUUUUGGUCCAUUUCAAAAAGAAUGACUCCUUUCUAAAUUUGGUAACAAUUUAGCUUAAACUUACAAUUCUAUCCUUAAUGAGAAGAUUUUAUAACCACACAAAUACUCUAGGCCCCUUUUUGGCUUGUUUAGGACCACAAAUUCCAAAAGUCUUCAUUUUUUCUUAAACUCCAUGCCCAGUCAAACAGGUUCACAUAAAUUGGAACGGAGGGAGUAUAUACAGAACCAAAAAAGGAAAUCUACGUCCCCCUUGGGGACUAUGGCCCGUCAGCCUCUUUCUCGCCAUCUUCGGCAUCAGACAGAAGGAACUUAGCAUCAUGUUCUUCCGCCUUCGCCUGUUUUAUCUCUUCCGAGGGAUUGAAGCCCCUGGAAUGAAUUUCCUCGAGGGCUUCCCUUUGAUAUUUACACCUCACGUACUCUUUAUUCCUACUCUCCUGGUCGAGAGCCCUCCUUAGCUCAGCACGAGCAUCGACAACAUCUUUCAAAUAGGCAACCACCUUUUUAUCAGCCUUAGUUCGGAUUGUUAUGGCUUCAGCCCGGGCAUCUACGACUUCGGCCUUCAUCUUCAAGAGCUCGGAUUCAAGUCGUGGAAUAAUGUACGAUCGGACCAAGCUAUUUUCGUGAGCAUUGCGGAGAUGUACUUCGAAGGUAGAAACCUUGGCUAGAGAUCCUUUCUAAGCCGAUAACUGGGCAUCCACCCGAGUCUUUAGCCUAUCGCACUUGAACUUGGCUUGACCAACUUCAUCCCUAAUGCUCUCCAGGUCCUCCGUCUUUUUCUACAGUUGAAGUAAACAAAACAUUAGCCUCGGAAGAUAGAAAAAGAAACAUACUCUCCCUUGAAACAGAAGUUACCUGCUCCUCGAGGAAGCUUUCGUAGUUCAAACUGCGACUCAUCUCAUACUGCAAGUGUGCCAACUCGUCUUCCCUUUCAUCGUAAAGAAGCCUGAGGUAUUUCUCCCCAUCUACGGUUUUUCGCAAUCUGGCCUCAUGGCGAAACAUCUCAAAUUUGAGCUUAUUAAAAGCCUGUGGAAGAGAAACAUGGCAAGAAAGUAAAAAUUACAAAACUAUAAAUCCAGUACAAACGGUCUAAACCUACCUCCGAGUAAAGCCGCUGAACUUCCUCAAGAAUCAAGUGUACAUCUACUGGUCUGGAUCCAUCUACCCCGGUAGAACUACCCCGAUUUCGGACACAGUCGCCCGAUAUACAUGCCCCUUGGCGUCGAACAUCCCUUAAAGUGCCUUCGACGGGAGAAAAAGCCAAUAGCAGAGAACCCUCGCUCCUCGAAGCACCUUCGACGGUAAAGGAAGAUGGCAGUAAAGGAGGGACCGUUUCUCUAAAGCCAGAGACCCCGAGUGUCGCGCCCCCUUUUUCUCGCGAAAUCGAAUUUAUGACAUAUUGGUUGGCACAACUCUUUCCUUUUGGGAAAGGGGGUUUGCAUUUUGGAGAGUCGCCACCUAACGAUUUUUAAGGUGUGUUAGGGCACCUAUAGGGUUCAUUUAUAACUAAGUUUGGUAACCAGAGAUAGGGUAAGGGCUUGAAAUUAUCCUAAGGGGAAGGUGUUAGGCACCCCUCAGGAUCCACUAGUGUGGUUCCCGGCCAAACAGUUUUUGUGAAUUUUUACAAUUAGAAAUAGACAAGUAGGGCUCAAAUAAUAGGGGAUUUAAGUUUAAAUACACAGGUGUAAGAAAACAUCUAAUGAAAAAAAAAUUAGAUUUUGAAAAGAAUUACAAUCUAAGCAUAUUCAUGAAUGUAAAAAGGGGUGUCCUAGGUUUAUUUAUAAUAUGGAUCACAUCAUUGCAAUACCCGGUAUGACACUCCUCAAAGAGGGGAUACACGUGGUAUUAAAGCACCGAUCAUCAUAUCCAUAUCUACCCUUUCCCGCCCCGUGAAGGUAGUUAAAGCAUAGGUUGGUCUCGACCCCUAUUGCAUGUUGUUACUCGUCCCUUCCUAUCAGUCUUGGAGGAAUUUAGGACUCCUAUCCUAUAAAGGGGGGGGGGAGUUCUAGGCAGACCCUCAGGUUUAAAGGAAAAAUACUAGGCGACAAAUAAGAACACGUAGGACUGCAUUUAGGGGGAAAAACAUAGGAAACAGAUAGAAGGCUCAAAUAUACCUCCACAAGUAAUGCACAUAAACAACAUGACUCAUACACAAUUAAGGUCUAAAUUCAGAUGCUAUACAUGGUAUCUAAGUGACAACAGCAGCAUCAGAUUUAUUACAUGACUCAGAAAAGAAGUCCGAAUCAGGCUUGCCUACUGAUUUUAACAGUUGAUAUACAUAAAGAAGCAUAUUUCCAGUUUUGACAAAUUUAGCACCUAAGGCUUGCCUAGGUGUAAAACAGUGUUUCAGUUAUCAGGGUUACUUAGAAAAGACUGUUUGAAUUGUAUUACUGAACAUGCUGCUCUAAAUGUUCGGAAUUCUGAAAUUAUUACCAGCUGGGUUAAUCUAUUUUUUUAAUAAUUAAACUAGAGAUGCCUAAGCGGAUGUGAAUGCAAUUCUAAAGGCAUGAUAUCUAAUGCACAAAAAUGCAGAGUGAUGUAUAUGCAGGACCUGAGCAGGUUUUUUUUUUCUAAAUGCAUAAGUAAUAUAUACUUUCAGAAUAUGCAGAAGAUAUGGAAAUGACCUGUUUAUUAGCGUUGUUUUUUUUAAUACUAAGGCAGGGUCUCUAAGUGUACGUGGCAACACAUAACAUAAUAGUAAAGUGCUAGUUAUUAACAGAUUUUAACACAUGAUUUUAUAAGGAUGCACAUGCUCAAAUAAUAAACAUGGGACCUAAGAGCAUGAUUUCUAAUGCAUGUAUGAAUCCUAAGCAUGUUUUCUAUUGCGCAAUUAGGAAUAUAAACGUAACAACUUGUUUUCUACCCUUAACAUUAUAGCAUGCAUAUUUACCCAAUCCCUUUUCACUAGCCAACCCCAAUACUUAUUUACAACAUAUUAUUACAGACCAACACUGAAAUGAAUUACAUAAGAAAAAGUUACACUAUAGAGAGCCCGAAAAUAGGCCCAAACUUUCAACACCUGAUUAGGACUUCCUCCAUGAGUUAUGUAAUAAAUUACCUCAAGUGCCAAGAUUGUUCCAUAGCCUUUCUCAUAUCUGGGUGUGUCAGAGUUCCCUAAGGAGCUCAAGGGAUCCCGGGUAGUGCUCACACCGAGAUUUCAUGGCUAGGACAGAGUAAGUGCAGUGUGGAAAGACCAACUUUUGUGUGUCCAAGUUCAGAGGAAGCUCAAGGGUCCCAAGGCAGGGCUCACACAAAGGGGCAGAACCUAGUGGUCUAAGAGUAAGGUGAGAGUGCUUGACAUAAGUUUAAAAGAACAAUUUUGACAAUGAUUAGUUUGAAACAAGUUUUGGAAAAAAAACAAUAUAAGAGUUUGCCUUAGUGAAAAACCAGUUUGAAGAAGAAAAGAAACAGGACAAUCAGCAACUCAAGACCAAAUCAACAUACAUAGUUCAAACACAAACAUAGAAAGGAGGAAUUGGGGACAAGUAGUUCAUAUGUGAAAGCAUAUUUGCACACAAAUUACACCAAAGAAGUACUACAGAAAUAGUCACAGUAAUAGUCUAUCACAAAGUGUUCAUUCUAGGAGCUUAACAGUAUUAGAUUAAGGGAUUCUAAACAGAGUUUCUCAUUAGAUUAAGGGGAAGGGUUCAGGAUCACAUAGUGACUGGGUGUCACAAACACAUGCUUACAAUGUAUUGGGGGUUAGGGCAGAAUAAUAGUAGAAAAAUGCAAGAAAGCAGUAGACAUGCUGAAUUACAGGAAAGGGGUAUAUUACACAGAGUUUGUCAUGCUACUUAGUGUUAAUCAAGUACAUUAGGAGUCUAUGAUAUGAGCAUACUAGUUGAGGGAAAUAAACAAGAACUCAAGUAAACAUGCUGGCCAAGUAUCAUACAAGACAAGUGAGACCCAGACAUGCUGAUUACACACUUGAACAAGAGAGGGCAAAACUUAAGCAUACUGAAUAAAGCAGUAAACAAGAAGGGCAAUUAAAUACAUAAGCCAUUAAAUUAGUGCAGGAGGAGACAUGGAUUAACAGACAUGGAUCACAUAGAGUUGAGUUUCAGAAUUGAACUAGGAACAUACCAGUUAAAGAAGCAAAAAUGCAGAAAGCAAAGCAAGUAUAGUUCCACAGUCUAACCUUGACUUUCAGCCGGCUAGACAAGUAGUUAGCACAAGUAGCAGAGAGAGAGGAGAGAAUUUUUAUGUGUGUGUGUGUGUGUGUGUGUGUAUUUUUUUGAACUAAUUGUUCGUGUCCUAUGCUAAAGAGAGGGUAGAGCACUAAUUGUUUGUGUCCUAUGAAAAUCACAGGGAAUCAACACUAACUAAGGAAAGUAUCACAAAAAUAAGAAAGCAAUUCAAAAAAUCAGUACAUAAGUACAAGAAAAAUAUACAAAAUCACAGAUUCAGGGAAGAUAUUGCAGGUCUAAGGAGAUUACACAAAAGCAAUACAAAUUAUGUGAACAAUCAAUAAAAUAAAUAGUCGGACCUAUUAAAUGAUAAAUAUUCAAAAAAUCAGUACAGAAUUACAAGAAAAAUAUACAAAAUCACAUAUUCAGGGAAGAUAUCGCAGGUCUAAGGAGAUUACACAAAAGCAAUACAAAUUAUGUGAACAAUCAAUAAACAAAUAGUCGGACCUAUUAAAUAAUAAAUACACGUGUUGAACAAAAUCAGAUAAACCCUAAGAACAAAUUAGAGCAGGAAGCACAAGAAUAUAUAGAAUAUACAUGAAACCAAGAAGGUUCAUGAGAGACAUUGACGAGGCCAAUGUGUAUAGGAUUUUCCGGCUCGUGCUUAGUCAAAUUCUAAUAUAGUUUAAGAUAUCGUCCCACAUAGAUUGAAAAAUCUAUGCUACAAACUUGUAAUAUUUAUACUACUAUUUGAGAGAACUAAAUUGAUAAAAAGAGUAGGAUUUUGAAUUUGUAAAUUACUUAAACAAAAACAACUUGUGAAAUAUUUAUAUUUAAAAAGUGGUGGGAAUCAUUGAAUUCACUUGACGAUAUUUUUAUAAUAAAAUCUCAAUUUCUACAUAUAUUUCACUAAUGAAUAAUUGCUUAUUGCUAAUACAAUUAUGUUUUGCUCACUAGAAAGUAAACAAUUAAUAAUACUCCUUGAGGUUAUAUUAUUAACUGACUUACGACUAGUGACAAUAAGACCAAAAUAUGUGUCUUGUCUGAAUUGUGCUAAGAGGUAGUAAAAACUUCGUAAAAAUAUUUUUACUACAAAAUCAAUGAUAUUUCUUAUAACAACUCCUCCGUGAGAAUUAAAAUUGAAGUAAACAAAAAUCAAGAUUUGGAAUGCUAGAUUGCUGAAAAUUACCCUUUAUCUAUUGAUUCACACUAGUCAGUAUGUAUUGAUUUUGCUUCGUGAGAAUUACAAAUCAAUACAAACUUGAGAAAUAAAUAGAUAGAUGUGGCUGAUUGAAAUCUAACACCCCAGCACAAUAUAAAAGUGGAGCUAGAGAAUCUCACAAGUAUGUAAUAAAAUUGUGAAAACUAUUAUAAAAUUAUAUAUCAAGCUUCAUCAACCAUCCCAACAAAAAGACACUACUCUAUUAUCGAGUAUUUGAAAAAGAAUGGACUUCUAUAAUAUGGCCUAUAUUACUAAUACUACUAGGAAAUCGGAAAAUUAUAAGUAAUGAAAGAAGAACAAGAAAGAAUAAGUGACCAAAGCUUUAGAAAAUAAAGUGGCUCUUUUGUUCCUUUUUCCUCGAUGCCUCAUACACAUAGAGUUGCCUUCUAUUUAUAGAAGUACAUUUCUUCUUGAAGUGUUGUGAUCUCAGGUGAGGAAGAUGCAUCUUGAGGAGAAUAUGUCAUGAGGAAGAUGUAUCUCGAGGAAGAUACGUCAUGAAGAAGAUGCUUAGUGAUCUUCUUGCAUUGUGGAGUGAAUAUGUUAUGACCUUCUUGUUUCUUUCAUUUUCUUGCUUAAUUAAUAGCAUUCUUAUCUCCUGCAAAACAUUGUUAGAAAAUAUAGAGAAUUGAAAUAUUAUAUAAAUACUUUAUUUAAAAUAGUAUAGUUUUAAGUAUAUAAUAUAUGUCAUCAAACUCCCCCAUACUUGAAUCAUUGCUCGUCCUCGAGGAGAAUUAUUUUAUUAGUAAUUAUUGUUUCUUGUAGACUAGAAAAGUAAGAAAAUAAAAAUUCACAUAACAUUCAAAACCUAUAAAUUUUUCAAGUCACCAAAUCUUUACCUUAUUUCUACUUCUGCUUUUGUUUGACAAAAAUUUUCUCUCUUCCCUUGACGAACUUUUUGAGAUUGAUAACAUUAUGAUCACAAUCCUUGAGUUUCUUAAACAUUGUCCAUAAGCUUGCCCUUCAUGCCAAUCUCCACUAAUGUAGAAUCAACAUUGAUUUUUAAAAUCUUUUUAGAACUUUUUCAGGCUUUUAUUGUUAGGCUUAGUGCGGGUAAGGGUAAAUAAAAUAUUUAUAGUGACUAUGUUCCUUCCAGCUUUAUAAUGUGAGCCAAUUAUUUUACCAAAGGAACUAGUACAACUUAAUACAAAGAAGAUAAACUCUAGAGAUGUCUUCAGUCCCAUGAUUAAAACCAAUUAAGUCAACAUUCCUUUCAACAUAAACAUUCUCCGUAAGUUUUAACUUCUUACACCAAGAAUUUAUUCCAUAAGUAUAUUCACGUCAUUUUUUUUGUGUGAGAAGGAUAUUCACAUCAUUCUUUUUAAAACUUUAUAUACAAACCAAUCCACCUUUCUCUGAAUACAAACUUUACAUCAAAAGUAUUCCUUCAUCCUGUGCUUAAAUAGCCAUUUCUGCUCAAUUAUAGCGGGAAGAAAUCUUUUUUCUUUGGUUAAACCAAUAUGGUGUAUCAAGAAGAGUUGGUUUAUCCUUUCUUUUUUUUUUCUUUUUUUUUUUUAAUAAGGCUCAAAGUUGGGUGCUAAAGGAAAAUAUGUGUGUGUGUGUAGUGGUAGAAACAGAGAAGCUAAAAAGUGAUCAAGGAAAGCCUAAUUUCAUUUAAAACUCAAUGUUGUCUAUAAUUUCGUCUUGAUAGACAUUUGGGGCAAGUUCUAGCAAAGCUUUAUUGAUUCUACUUGUUGAGAUCAUAAUGCUUCUCAAUUCCAACUAUUUCUCAUAUUAGGAGAUUCAUUAUUGCCAUCACAAAAACCCAAAUACAAACAUGGAAGUUAUAUGACAUAAAUGAAAAAAAAAUAUGUUUGAAACCAUGCGAAUAAUUAUUUGAAAACUUUAAUAUUAUACAAAAACAAUAAUUAAGAAUAAAAAAAGGAUGAGUUUAUUUGUAUUUAUAGGGAACCGCGAGAGUAUAGAUAACAAAGAGUAGCUAAACCAGGAAAACUAUACUUAUAAGAUCAUAUGUAUCUAUUUUAAGAAAAAGAAACUUACCUCUCGAUGUGUCACAUGAUGGAGGUUUGAUGCAUCAGGCAUAUGUUUGUCACUUUUGUAUCUUGGAUUCAUUUUUCUUUCAUGUUUAACUUCUUCUUCAACAAUGAAACCAAAACAGUUAAUGUACCAUAAUAUGUAAUAUCACCAAAAGAUAUUGAGAAUGUCAUAAAAAUAAAGAGAAUGAACACUCAUGGUGAAUCCAUACCAACUUGUAUAAUCAGUGAAAGCAUUUGCACAACCUUUGGCCAUCUUUAUAAUGAAGAUAUCUUAAUUCUUUAUAACUGAAAAACACAUUCACAAUAAAUGUGCCAACAUGAAGAAGAAGAAAAAACAGCUUUUGUCAAAUAUGUGUUGGCCUUGCUCUACCUGCACAAAUAAAAAAAAUAAAAAGUGAUUCUAGCAAAAGUUGUCCUAUUAGAUGUGUCCAUUCUCUGACUCUCUAUGGGUAUUUUUGCAUAGAGAAUUAAGGGCAGUAACACCCUACAGUAAAAUAGUCCAAAGGUCCAUCUAUAUAUAAAUAUGAAACUAUAUUAAUGUACAGUCAAAAAAAAUUAAAACAAUAUUACUUAAAACGUAGUAUUUACAUUAACUUAAAAAGUACUUAAUUUACACGGGAACGUCUUGAUAUGUUCCAACUUGUGACGACCCGGCCGGUCGUCUUAAGAAUUAACGCCCCAACCCCUAUUAACUGCUUUUCCCAAGUUUAAUUAUGCUAUUUUGAUUUGCCGGGAUGUUCGGUUUUGAGUUUCGGAGAGUUUUGGGACACUUAGUCCCUAAAUGAGAGCUUAAGUGUUUGAAAAUUGACCAUAGUCGGAACAGUGUGAGGACGGCCUCAGAAUGGAAAUCUGAUGGUUCCAUUAGCUCCGUUGGGCGAUUUCGGGUUGAAGAGCGUGUUCGGACUGUAUUUUGGAGAUCCGUAGCUAAUUUAGGCUUGAAAUGCCGAAAGUUAAAUUUUUGAAGUUUCCGGUCCGAUAGUGAGAUUUUGAUCUGAGGGUCGGAAUGGAAUUCUGGAAGUUGGAGUAGCUCCGUAGUGUUGAAUGUGACAUGUGUGCAAAAUUUCAGGUCAUUCGGACGAGGUUUGAUAGACUUUUUGAUCGAAAACGUAUUUUGAGAAUUUUAGAGUUCUUAGGCUUGAAUCCAUGGUUAAUUCGAGGUUCCGAUGUUGUUUUAGGUGUUCUAAGGAUUGAUACAAGUUUGGAUAGUUGUUUGUGACUUGUUGGUGCCUUUGGUUGAGGUCCCGGAGGCUUCAGAAUGAUUUCGGAUGGUUGACGGAAGAAUUUUGGAGUUGGAACGUUGCAGCUUCACCUGAUUUCUGUCAUAACCGCACCUGCGGUUUGGGUUCCGCCGGUGCGGAGCCGCAGAAGCGGCCAUUAGAUCGCAAAAGCGGAAAAAAGGGAGGGCCAGCAUAGAGCCACAGAAGCGGACGCUCCAUCGUAGAAGUGCGUCCGCAGAAGCGGACUCUUUGUCCGCAGAUGCGGAAACUGCCACAGAAGCGUGAUCUCUUCUCGCACCUGCGGGACCACAGGUGCGGCUCAUCUGGUCGCAGAUGCGAAACUUGCUGGACAGAAUGUUUUAAGUUCUUUCCAUUUUUACAAAUUUGGAGCUCAGGAAGAGGCGAUUUUCGAGAGAAACAAAGGGGUAAGUGUUCUUAACUUUAUUUUGGUUAGAUUAUUCGAAUCUACUACUAGCUUUGGCAUUAAAUAUGUGAAUUUAGUUGGAAGAGUUUCAAAACCCUCUCGGAUAGAUUUGAGGAUUUGAGGGUCGAAAUGUUAUGGGAUUUGGAUAAUUUUGAUAUGGUUAGACUUGUGAGAGUGCGAGGUUUCUAGAAAUAUAAAUUUUACCCGAUUUUGAGACGUGGGCCUGAGGGCAUUUUGGUCAUUUUACAUAAUUUCGCGUAUUAACUUAGAAUUUAAUUGUAGAAUCAGUUACUUGAAGUGUUAUUUAUAUUAUGAAAUUGAAUUGAAUAUAUUUGGGCCAUUUGGAGUCGAGUACUCGUGGCAAAAGCGUGGUUUCAGAUUGAUUUUAAGCCGGUUUGAGGUAAGUGGUUUGUCUAACCUUGUGCGGGGGACCUUCCCCUUAGGAUAUGAUAUAUUCGAUAAUUGAAAUGCCUUGUACGUGAGGUGACGAGUGCAUACUUGAGCUAAUUGUUGAAAAUCCGAUUUUUCUUCAAGUAUUUCAAUUGAGUUCCUUUUUCCCGUUUUAUUCUACUUGCGAAUUUAGCCUGUUGUAGUUUAGAAAAGCAGGUUUAGUUGACUUAAUUGCCUAUUUGCUUAAACUGAUUUAAUUGCAUUACAUGAAGCAUAUUAGACUAGAAUUAACUGUUUACUUGAUUCGAAUUUAGCAUUUAAUUGAGUAUUCUUAUGUUGCUUCUGUGUGUUUUUAAUUUGGGAUUACGGGACGGCAUCCCGGGAGAUCCCUGGCACGUAUAUUGAGGAUACCAAGAGAUCCUCGGGAUACCAAGAGAUCCCUAUCAUAUAUUGAGGAUACCAAGAGAUCCUCGGGAUACCAAGAGAUCCCUAGCAUACAUUGAGAAUACCAAGAGAUUCUCGGAAUACCAAAAGAUCCCUAACACAUAUUGAGGAUACCAAGAGAUCCCUAGCAUACAUUGAGGAUACCAAGAGAUCCCCGGUUAUCACCCUUGCUAUGAAUGGCAUUUCCUUGUGGUUUGCCUUUAUCUCUGGUUCCGUUAUUGUACUCUUAUCAUCCUGUAUAGAUUCUUACUGUAGAUUCUCAAUUGUACAGCUUAUUUUAUCCUGUCAUCUUAUUAUUUAUUUAAUCUCAGUAGGGCCCUGACCUUACUCGUCACUACCCAACCGAGGUUAGGCUUGACAUUUACUGAGUACCGCUAUGGUGUACUCAUGCCCCUUCUGCGCAUGUUUUCAUGUGCAGAUCCAGGUACUGCUACUCAGGCCUACCAUCUUUGAGGGAGGCGACUGCUCUAGAGACAUCGAGGUACAUCUGCCGCGUCCACAGACCGAGA